GGAAAAGUUUGACUAAAUGUUACUGUGUCCUGUUUGUAUAGAGCCUUUCUAUGUGUUUCACUGCAGUGUCUAUAGCUUACAGCAGUCAUAGAAUGUAUAUACAGACAUUUCUUAGCACAAAUUAAGUUCAACAUAAGUAACUAAAGAGAACUUCAAUCUUUCUUGCGAGCACAACUUCAUCACUUACAUAAAACAGUUUGCAUUGUAAACUAAGAAAAUCGUAUUACAUCACCACUUGGAUCUUGAGUCAACACCUAUGUAUUAUUUAACUGUUCCAUAUGCCUCAAUGUGUGAAACAACCAACUGGAGAUCUCAUCAACCAUACACUGUGUGUCAAGAGUUGGCUGACUUUAUAGUGUGACCCUGGAGUACUACCUCUUUCCUUCAGAGUACAGCUUUUUGGUGCAAAUAGAGUCUGCUACAGUUGUUGGUUAACCAGCAAAUCUGACUGCCAUAUUAAUGAUGCAGGAUGUGGAAUUGGUAUAGCCAAUGGUUGUGUUUGCUUGAGGACCAGACUGUGGUAAACCCCACUUGAAGAAAACAAGGAUUCAUUUGGAAGAGAAGUACCACAACAUGGCAUUAAUGACUUCUGUCCGGGUUGAGAAAAAAUUUCAACUGCAUCUGCAUUAAAAGACAUCUCAGCACCAGAACAAUUUAACUAAGACAUGGUUAAAAACUUCACAGCAACCACUGAUCUCAUCAUUUCGAAGAAUGUGGACGACAAAAAUGAGUUCAGUGAAGAUCCUUGCAAGGCUUUAAUAAAAGUAAACAUUCCCCCGAAUAAGUUGGAGAAUGAAGCAUUAAAGACCUUCUUGAAAAAAUACACAGGAAAACAUAUUCAUCAUGAGUCAACGCUAUUGUAUGAAAAGACAUUGGAGAAUGUUAUGACAGAAAUUGUCGAUUCUCCAGUCUGGCUGUCCGUUGGCGAAACUGGUCGGUAUAUGGUGCACGUCAUAGUUGGAAAACUCUCUGCUGACAAGGCUGGACGAGGACAUAUCAUAGUGUAGAAAGAAGUGGAACGAACGACACACGCCACGAUUGCACGCACAGUGCAGGAAGCAGUGUGCGUGCUAUGGAGAAGUGAGGACCAGAAACGUGGGGAGAACAAGGUUUUGGCCAUUGUGAUGGAUAGUGCCGGAUAUAUGCUGAAGGCUGCAGAGUGCCUCCGGGUGUUUUACCCUAUUUCACCUCACGUGUCUGGCUCAUGGCAUCCAUCGAGUGGCAGAAAAGGUCAGAGCCGCAUUGCCAGAGAUUAACAGCGUUAUAUCUUCGGCAGAGAAGGUUUUCAUAAAGGCACCGAGUGAGAGCUUUCAAGACUGCUCACCGUGACUGUCCUCUGCCACCUGAACCAGCCUUGACGGGGUGGGGAACGUGGAUUUCAGCUGUAAAUUAUUAUGCAGACAACCUCAGAAAAGUUGAAGAGGUCCUAAAGGACUUUGAAGAUAGCAAAAACAGCCAUUACAAAAUCUAAGGACGCCCUGAAGAGUUCUAGCGUGUUACACAGCCUAUCUUUCAUCCCAGCGCACUUUGGUGGCCUUCCAGACCUAACUGAGAAACGUG
rnacentral:lncRNA from 1 species